GACGAACGCUGGCGGCGUGCUUAACACAUGCAAGUCGAACGGUGAAGCGAGUGCUUGCACUCGUGGAUCAGUGGCGAACGGGUGAGUAACACGUGAGUAACCUGCCCAUCACUCUGGGAUAAGCACUGGGAACGGUGUCUAAUACUGGAUACGACCACCCCUUGCAUGGGGUGUUGGUGGAAAGCUUUAUCGGUGAUGGAUGGACUCGCGGCCUAUCAGCUUGUUGGCGGGGUAAUGGCCCACCAAGGCGACGACGGGUAGCCGGCCUGAGAGGGUGACCGGCCACACUGGGACUGAGAUACGGCCCAGACUCCUACGGGAGGCAGCAGUGGGGAAUAUUGCACAAUGGGCGAAAGCCUGAUGCAGCGACGCCGCGUGAGGGAUGACGGCCUUCGGGUUGUAAACCGCGUUCAGCAGGGAAGAAGCGAAAGUGACGGUACCUGCAGAAGAAGCACCGGCUAACUACGUG
rnacentral:rRNA from 1 species